rnacentral:rRNA from 1 species
UCGUGAGACAGUUCGGUCCCUAUCUGCCGUGGGCGUUGGAAGAUUGAAGGGGGCUGCUCCUAGUACGAGAGGACCGGAGUGGACGAACCUCUGGUGUUCGGGUUGUGUCGCCAGACGCAUUGCCCGGUAGCUAAGUUCGGAAUCGAUAACCGCUGAAAGCAUCUAAGCGGGAAGCGAGCCCUGAGAUGAGUCUUCCCUGACCCCUUGAGGGUCCUAAAGGGUUGUUCGAGACUAGAACGUUGAUAGGCAGGGUGUGUAAGCGCUGUGAGGCGUUGAGCUAACCUGUACUAAUUGCCCGUGAGGCUUAACCAUACAACACCCAAAGGGUUUUG